AUGGCCUGGGCUCUGCUCCUCCUCAGCCUCCUCUCUCAGGGCACAGGGUCCUGGGCCCAGGCGGCCCUCACUCAGCCUCCAUCCAUGUCCGGGACUCCUGGGACUUCAGUCACCAUCUCCUGUGUGGGAAGCAGCAAUGACAUUGGGCGUUAUGACCUUGUGUCCUGGUACCAACAGCGCCCGGGCACGGCCCCUAAACUCCUGAUUUAUGAUGUCACAAAACGGCCCUCGGGGAUCCCUGAGCGCUUCUCUGGCUCCAAGUCUGGCAACACGGCCACCCUGACCAUCUCUGGGCUGCAGGCUGAGGACGAGGACGACUAUUACUGCUGCUCAUACCAUUAUUCAGACACUCUCCACAGUGGUGCAGGCUCAUGGGGAAGUGAGACCAAAACCCGGCCUCGGCUCUCACGAAUCCUCAUCGUGUCCGUUUUCUGUGACAAGCCAAUGCAGUGUCCACCUGGCACAUACGUGUUCCUGGUGUGCGUCUCCAGUGCCAGGAAUUGCCUGGCGUCUCCAUGCGCCCAGGCUUAA